rnacentral:misc_RNA from 1 species
GAUGAAGAACGUAGCGAAAUGCGAUAAGUAAUGUGAAUUGCAGAAUUCAGUGAAUCAUCGAAUCUUUGAACGCACAUUGCGCCCGCCAGUAUUCUGGCGGGCAUGCCUGUUCGAGCGUCAUUUCAACCAUCAAGCCCCAGGCUUGUGUUGGAGCCCUGCGGCUGCCGCAGCCUCCCAAAACCAGUGGCGGGCUCGCUAUCACACCGAGUGCAGUAGUUUACUCUUCGCUCAGGGCGUGUGGCGGGUGCUAGCCGUAAAACCCCCAACUUCUCAAUGUUGACCUCGGAUCAGGUAGGAAUACCCGCUUAACUUAAGCAUAUCAAUAAGCGGAGGA